rnacentral:rRNA from 1 species
AGAGUUUGAUCCUGGCUCAGAACGAACACUGGCGGCAGGCUUAACACAUGCAAGUCGAACGCACCGCAAGGUGAGUGGCAGACGGGUGAGUAACGCGUGGGAACGUGCCCUUCAGUUCGGGAUAACCCAGGGAAACUUGGGCUAAUACCGGAUACGUGCGAGAGCAGAAAGAUUCAUCGCUGAAGGAUCGGCCCGCGUCUGAUUAGCUAGUUGGUAGGGUAAUGGCCUACCAAGGCGACGAUCAGUAGCUGGUCUGAGAGGAUGAUCAGCCACAUUGGGACUGAGACACGGCCCAAACUCCUACGGGAGGCAGCAGUGGGGAAUAUUGGACAAUGGGCGCAAGCCUGAUCCAGCCAUGCCGCGUGAGUGAUGAAGGCCUUAGGGUUGUAAAGCUCUUUCGUCCGGGACGAUAAUGACGGUACCGGAAGAAGAAGCCCCGGCUAACUUCGUGCCAGCAGCCGCGGUAAUACGAAGGGGGCUAGCGUUGUUCGGAAUCACUGGGCGUAAAGGGCGCGUAGGCGGCCUGAUAAGUCGGGGGUGAAAGCCUGUGGCUCAACCACAGAAUUGCCUUCGAUACUGUCGGGCUUGAGACCGGAAGAGGUAAGUGGAACUGCGAGUGUAGAGGUGAAAUUCGUAGAUAUUCGCAAGAACACCAGUGGCGAAGGCGGCUUACUGGUCCGGUUCUGNNGCUGAGGCGCGAAAGCGUGGGGAGCAAACAGGAUUAGAUACCCUAGUAGUCC